GAACGCGAAGAACCUUACCAAGUCUUGACAUACUGUGAGGACACAAGAGAUUGUGUUGUUCUGACCUAUGGUUAGACACAGAUACAGGUGGUGCAUGGUUGUCGUCAGCUCGUGUCGUGAGAUGUUGGGUUAAGUCCCGCAACGAGCGCAACCCUUAUAUCUAGUUGCCAGCAGUAAGAUGGGGACUCUAGAUAGACUGCCAGUGAUAAACUGGAGGAAGGUGGGGAUGACGUCAAAUCAUCAUGCCCCUUAUGACUUGGGCUACACACGUGCUACAAUGGAUAGGAACAAAGAGAAGCGAGCUCGCGAGAGUAAGCAAACCUCACAAAACUAUUCUCAGUUCGGAUUGUAGUCUGCAACUCGACUACAUGAAGCUGGAAUCGCUAGUAAUCGCGAAUCAGAAUGUCGCGGUGAAUACGUUCCCGGGUCUUGUACACACC
rnacentral:rRNA from 1 species